rnacentral:rRNA from 1 species
UACGAAGGGUGCAAACGUUGCUCGGAAUUACUGGGCGUAAAGCGUGCGUAGGCGGUUUGUUAAGUCCGUUGUGAAAGCCCUGGGCUCAACCUGGGAAUUGCAGUGGAUACUGGCGAGCUAGAGUGCGGUAGAGGAUGGUGGAAUUCCCGGUGUAGCGGUGAAAUGCGUAGAGAUCGGGAGGAACACCCGUGGCGAAGGCGGCCAUCUGGACCAGCACUGACGCUGAGGCACGAAAGCGUGGGGAGCAAACAGG